UACGUAGGUGGCAAGCGUUGUCCGGAUUUACUGGGCGUAAAGGGCGUGCAGGCGGUUCGUUAAGUCUAGGGUGAAAGCUCCCGGCUCAACUGGGAGAGGUCCUUGGAUACUGGCGGACUUGAGGGGAGUAGAGGAGAGUGGAAUUCUCGGUGUAGUGGUGAUAUGCGUAGAUAUCGAGAGGAACACCAGUGGCGAAGGCGGCUCUCUGGGCUCUACCUGACGCUGAGACGCGAAAGCGUGGGGAGCGAACCGGAUUAGAAACCCCCGUAGUCC
rnacentral:rRNA from 1 species